GACGAACGCUGGCGGCGUGCCUAAUACAUGCAAGUCGAACGAGAGCGACCGGUGCUUGCACUGGUCAAUCUAGUGGCGGACGGGUGAGUAACACGUGGGUAACCUGCCCAUCAGAGGGGGAUAACAUUCGGAAACGGAUGCUAAAACCGCAUAGGUCUUCGAACCGCAUGGUUCGAAGAGGAAAAGAGGCGCAAGCUUCUGCUGAUGGAUGGACCCGCGGUGCAUUAGCUAGUUGGUGAGGUAACGGCUCACCAAGGCCGUGAUGCAUAGCCGACCUGAGAGGGUGAUCGGCCACAUUGGAACUGAGACACGGUCCAGACUCCUACGGGAGGCAGCAGUAGGGAAUCUUCCGCAAUGGGCGAAAGUCUGACGGAGCAACGCCGCGUGAGUGAAGAAGGUUUUCGGAUCGUAAAACUCUGUUGUUAGGGAAGAAUAAGUGCUAGAGUAACUGUUAGCGCCUUGACGGUACCUAAACAGAAAGCCACGGCUAACUACGUG
rnacentral:rRNA from 1 species